rnacentral:rRNA from 1 species
GUAGGGAAUCUUCUGGCAAUGGACGGGAGUCUGACCGAGCAACGCCGCGUGAGUGAAGAAGGUUUUCGGAUCGUAAAGCUCUGUUGUUAGAGAAGAACGUUGGUAGGAGUGGAAAAUCUACCAAGUGACGGUAACUAACCAGAAAGGGACGGCUAACUACGUGCCAGCAGCCGCGGUAAUACGUAGGUCCCGAGCGUUGUCCGGAUUUAUUGGGCGUAAAGCGAGCGCAGGCGGUUCUUUAAGUCUGAAGUUAAAGGCAGUGGCUUAACCAUUGUACGCUUUGGAAACUGGAGGACUUGAGUGCAGAAGGGGAGAGUGGAAUUCCAUGUGUAGCGGUGAAAUGCGUAGAUAUAUGGAGGAACACCGGUGGCGAAAGCGGCUCUCUGGUCUGUAACUGACGCUGAGGCUCGAAAGCGUGGGGAGCAAACAGGAUUAGAUACCCUGGUAGUCCACGCCGUAAACGAUGAGUGCUAGGUGUUAGGCCCUUUCCGGGGCUUAGUGCCGCAGCUAACGCAUUAAGCACUCCGCCUGGGGAGUACGACCGCAAGGUUG